rnacentral:rRNA from 1 species
AUGAGUAUCCUCAGUUGGAAUUGCCGGGGGCAUGUGAACCCCGAGGCAAUUCGAGAGCUUCGCAAUGUGGUGAAGCAAGAAGGGCCCAUCCUCGUCUUUGUCAUGGAAACAAAGAUGAGUGCUACAAGGGUGGAAAACCUGAAGUUCAGUUUAGGUUUUGAUGGAUGCUUUGCGGUGGACAGUGUGGGGUUGAGCGGAGGCAUCGGACUUUUU